GAACAAAGCCAAAUAGUGGUUGAACUCUUUACCACGAGGUUCUAUUACUACAUGGGUUCAAAUGACCGAGAAGUUCCUUUUGAAGUACUUUCCGUUGGUAAAAGUACUGUGGUGUAAUCAUGGAAGGGAAGAAGCUACUUGGGAAUCAGAAGAGACUAUGCGUCAACAAUACCCUCAACUAUUUGGAUCAGGUAAAUUUCGAGGCCGAAAUUUCUUUAAGGGGGGUAGAGUUGUAACGCCCCAAUUUUCGGGAAUUCUGUGAAUGUUGGCAAAAUUUCAUACUUUAAUUUUGUCAUUUGUGAGUGAAAUUAUGAAAUAGGACCUUUGUGAAAAUGUUUGAAAAUGCUAUAGGCUAAAUUGAAGUGGCCAAAUAAAUAGGAGUGCAAAAUAGGAGGAUUUGCAUGACAAACCUCCCAUUUUACAUGAAGUGGCCAGCCAUCAUGUUGUUGUAGACAAAAUGUGCACUUGAUAUCCAUAAUUUAUGGUACAAAUUGAUACAAAUUGAUAAUGGGUUAGGUAAAUGUUCCAUGAUAAUGGGUUAGGUAAAUGUUUCAUGAUAAUGAGUUAGGUAAAUGUUCCAUGAUAAUGGGUGAGGUAAAUGUUCCAUGAUUGGAAUUUCAUGUCUUUUGUAUUAAAGAAUUAAAUGGAUGAAAUAUGAAAUUUUAUUAAAAGAAAAAGGGGUGAAAAGAACAAAGUUUUGUCCAUCUUUGUUCAUCAUAGCCUAAAGUUAGAGAAGAGAAAGGAGAGGAGAAAGCUCUUGAAUGUUCGGUCACUUGGGGAAGAAAAUUGAAGGUAAUCCCCAACCAUAGUGGGCUUGGAGCUGUGAGGGAAUUCGGAGUGGCCACCCAUUCUGAAAGUUUGAUUUUCUUCUGGUGAACUGGACAUCCUUUUUUUUAAGUUUGAAGUUUUGGGUUUUUAAAUGUAAUAAGGCCACUUAAUUAUUUUUGAUGGUGUUAAUAUGUGUUACUAAGAUAAGUAUUACUUAUUUUAACUGUUGAAGUUGGAAAACUUUAGGGCGCGUUUUCAAAAACAACAA